ensembl:misc_RNA 7SK 7SK RNA
GGAUGUGAGGGCGAUCUGGCUGCAACAUCUGUCACCCCGUUGAUCACCAGGGUUGAUUUGGCUGAUCUGGCUGGCUAGGUGGGUGUCCCCUUCCUCCCUCAAAGCUCCAUGUGCGUCCCUCCCGAAGCUGCGCGCUCGGUCAGAGAGGACGACCAUCCCUGAUAGAGGAGGACCGGUCUUCGGUCAAGGGUAUACAAGUAGCUGCACUCCCCUGCUAGAACCUCCCAACAAGCUCUCAAAUGUUAAUUUUGUUGCAAUAAAAACCAUUGGGAAGCCUGUACAAUGAGCACUACAAUCAUACAUAUUUUCUUAAACUAUUUAAAUUUUGGAUUUAU